rnacentral:misc_RNA from 1 species
AAAGUGCGACAAGUGUCACGACUUGCAGACACCCGAGAGCUGACAAAUUUCUGAAUGCAAAUUGCAGCCAAGUUAAUCUGGCUAUGCAUUGCAGAGAGUACUUCGCGUAUGCGCUUACUCCAGUCGAGUUGAGUUCAGCCGAAUGGCUGGCACUCCUGGGACAUGCGAGAUUGAGCCUCGUUGACGCGUGCUUCAUGCAAGCGACCGGGCUCUCUCUUGUUAAAGUCAGAAAACCAUUGAGUUUUCCUGAAUCUAUCUGAGAAAAAGAGUUUAAUCUCUUACCCUCUCAAUUCUUACCUCUGCAAUGUAGGAGAACCCGCUGAACUUAA